ACACUGGUUCACGUACGAUCACCGAAGUUAAGCAACGUCGAGCCUAGUCAGUAUCUAGAUGGGUGACUGCUUCGGAAUACCAACUGCUGUAAG